UGGGGAAUAUUGCACAAUGGGCGAAAGCCUGAUGCAGCAACGCCGCGUGAGCGAUGAAGGCCUUCGGGUCGUAAAGCUCUGUCCUCAAGGAAGAUAAUGACGGUACUUGAGGAGGAAGCCCCGGCUAACUACGUGCCAGCAGCCGCGGUAAUACGUAGGGGGCUAGCGUUAUCCGGAUUUACUGGGCGUACAGGGUGCGUAGGCGGUCUUUUAAGUAAGGAGUGAAAGGCUACGGCUCAACCGUAGUAAGCUCUUGAAACUGGAGGACUUGAGGGCAGGAGCGGAAAGUGGAAUUCCUGGUGUAGCGGUGAAAUGCGUAGAUAUUAGGAGGAACACCAGUGGCGAAGGCGGCUCUCUGGACUGUAACUGACGCUGAGGCACGAAAGCGUGGGGAGCAAACA
rnacentral:rRNA from 1 species